AUCGAAAUGCAACUUAAAAUUAGCUACUCCAGUAGUAGUUACAGCAGUGCCACCCAGCAAAGGAUUCCUUAAAUAUGAAGCGCAGAACAUCCCAGAUGUUGGCAACGGAAAACUGCAAAAGUUGGCUCUGCCUUUUUGUUUGUAACAAGCUCAACACUAACCUCCAUCUGAAGAGCACAUGAAGGUCAACAGGAGCUGCUGGUCCAUGAUGCUGCCUUGACCAUGUGCCCCCCCACCCCACCCUAGAGAGAGGACACUGCUGCAUGGUGAUGGUGCAGGGAGUGACAAAGAACCUACCAUGUGCAGCCAGUGCAAGAAACAGAGCAGGUGCUGCCCCUCCCUGCCCAGCAGACAGACAGGAGCAUGGCAGUCUUCCCUGAGGAUGGGAACAGGUGGCCACUGAUGGGGCACUCCCUUGAUGGAAGUUCUAUCAGCUUGUGCUCAGUGGCUGGCCCUGCCACUGCCAGGACAGCCGGCGGGAUAGGGUAUGGGGCUGGCCUGUGGAUGGGCAGGGCAGGCACAGGCCAUGGGGUGUCAUGGGGGGUUGUGGGGAAGGAGAGUGCAGGCCUUUGACAGCCUCCCACCCACCUGCUCCAGCACCAACUCCUCCAUCCUGGGUGCUUGACUGGACCAGGACCUGGAAGGUGUCUGUCCACCCCCAACUCCCCUGCCUCCAGAUGCAAGUGACCUACACCAGCUAAAUACGCCUGGUGUGGGCCUGCAGUGCUGUGCCCACCUCCUCCUUGCCUUGCUGCAGCCCCGGGGAACACAGAGGCAGAGCCAGAUGGGCAGGAGGGCUGGGACAGUGCAUGUGAGCACAUGAUGAAGGGACGGGACUGGGCCACACAAAGGAGCCUCCAGAGGCAGGUGGACUGAACCCCACGGGCUCAAGUGUCCUGGCAUUCCCCUGAGAGGAGCCUGGGAGGGUCUAUGGAACAUGGUCGUCUAUGGAACAUGGUCUCAACACCAACACCCAGCUCCUGGUCCCUGGAAGGCUUGCUGCAAGUUACAUGCCCAUGUUCCCACCUGGGCACCCUCAGUGGAUCUAGAGUCCCCUAAGAACAGGGAAUCAGAAAAUGGCCAUGAGUGGCCAGGACCCCAUCAGAUGCUAGCCAGAGGAGCUGUCCUUGGGGACGCUGAGGCCACAAGGCUCAGUAGGCAGUGUGUCCCAGAACACAGUGGUGAGGACCAGCUUUAUUUUCAAAAGGGCCACAGAACAGGGAGGUGGCCCCAGACCACUCCGUCUUCCUCCAGCUGCCACAGCAGCUCCUUUGGCUGUGGCAAGAACAUACUGGUGUCCACUCUCUGGAAGUUGAUGUGGUUGAUCACAGAUACCAGCACCUCUGCAAUGUGGCAGAAUUGAAAGUAGCCUCCUGGGGGCCUGGCUUAGUGGCUACUCUGUCCUCCUCCAACCCCACCACCAGGAUGUGGAGCCUCCUUUCAGUGACAACGUUGAGGAAGUGGUAAAAUUCUUCAGAGUGAUUACCAAGCAUGAUCUCGUGAUGACCUGGGCCAGGGAGGAGAGGCCACUGAGCUGCCAGGUGCUCACAGCCUCGCAUGUUUCUGAUGGCCAAGGAGAGAACCCAGGAAGCAAAAGGCCACAGACAUGGGUUAGUCCUCCUGGACAAAGAAUGGGGGAUUAAUAAGACAUAGGCACCAAGAGGCCAGAUGGCAACCAGGGGAGUCUGAGUCACACAGCCUUCAAGCCUCCCCCAGGAUACAGCAGACUGACCUGCCUCAGCCUCCAAAGUGAAACCCUUACAUUCACAACUGGUGGCUGGUAGUAACUUGAGUCCUAUAGGCCACAGCUUCCCUGAGACUGCAGGCUGUCACCCGAAACCUAUCCCUGUCCCCCCACCUCACUGCAGCCAUGGCCUUGGUAAUUUCCCUGCCCCCCACCUCCCCCAAGCCCUGGUGAGCCUCUCCCUUGCCCCUGCCUUCAUGCCAGACAGCCGCCCCACUGGCCAUGGUGGUGCCAGCUGGGCAUGGAGUCCCUCACCUUGCUGACUUCCUGCUGCAUGGUGCAGAGCUCUUGCUGCAGGAAGUGCUACAUGUCAGGCAGGAUACAGCUAUUGACCCAGUUGUGGAGAGUCCAGGAGACCACAGCGGCACCACCCCCUGCCUGAUGUGCAAGCGCCAAUCAAGUCUUUUGUGCCAGGCCCGGUGCCACAGUUAGGUGAUGUAGGACAUACCUCUGGACCCCAGUCCUCUCCUGCCUCCUGAGGGCUCCAGGCUGGGGUCCUCGCAGUCAACAGCUGACUCAGGGUGUGUGGGCUCAGGGGAGGAACAUGGCAGGGAAUGACACAGAGAGGCUGGAGCCUCAGCAGUGCUGCUGUAACCACUUUCCCAUGCCUGCAUCUCCCAGAGGGAUGGUCGGGAGGCCUGCUUUGCCCUCCUGCAGGAAGGCAGGAGACUGGCAUCAGACAAGUCAUGGGUGGGGCACGCCUGCCUCACUGGGUUGUGCACUUGUCAGUGCCACCCUCUGGACACAAACUUCUUGCAGACCUGCGUGAACUUCACAGAUGUGACCUCCAGAGGUGGACUGCUCUACUGCCACAGCAGGUACAAGACCAAGGAGUGUGGGUGAUAUUGUGUCACAGGGCAGGCCACAGAGGCAAUUCCACGGGGCUACGUCCUGCCCAUGAGGAGAGAAAAACCACUUCAUCCUCCAGCAAAUGUUGACUGACCAGCUGAAGGAGUGGAAGAUGGCAUGGCACAGUGAACUGCCAUAGCUCCAAUUUUGUGCCUGGUAGUGCUGAUGUAGGCUUUGCUGCUUCUGAGUGGGCUGACCAAUCUCAGGAGCCCCCAGGCCUCUGAGUGAUGGGGACAAGCGCCCCACCUCUGACAUUGCUGCCUAGCAGCCUCUCUUUUCCUGAUGACCUUGGCAUAACAGCCUGGUGGUGGCCACACCUCCCACUAACCCCCAUCACUAGGUGCCUGUGAGCUUUCAGUAGACAGUGGUAGUCCUUCACACCAGGCUGUCCCAGAACUCAUUCAGUCAAAUGAGAAGUACACAGGCAGGCUGAACAUGUUCUCCAUUGAGGAGCCCCUGGGGAGUGGCAAGGGUCUGCGGCAGGAGCCCACCUCCCCGUGCCCCACCCUCAGCUACGCUCCAGGUAACAUAUCAAGAGAGCUUUGAAAUGCCAUGAAUGGAACCACCUGGGGCCUCCAACACUAGUGGAGCUGCCAGAUGAUGCAGCCCCUCGAGGCACCCAAGCUGAGCCCCACCCAAAUUGCUGAUCACACAAUCGCAAGCAAACAAGAUGGCUUUGGGGUGGCAUUUGACAGUAUAGACAACCCAUAAGGGCAUCGGCUCCCUCUCACACCUGUCCCAGGCUUUUGGCUUCUGGCUGAUCCAGGAGCUCUAAUGCAUUGUCGUCAUCAUCUGGGUUCCUGAAUUGUGGGAUUCCUUCCCAUUUUCACUGAUGCUGUUGUGGGAAAUUGGAAAAGGACAAGAGCCAGAAGAGGAAAUCUGAUUGCAAGUAGGAUAGCCAGUAAAGCCACUUCCAUGAGGACAGGCACGCACAGCGACAGGAGACAAAGACAGAUAGGGAGCUGUGCCCCCACGUAGGGUACUAUUUAAUUCAAUCAAUGACCAAAUGACACAAAUCCAGCUGGCAGGACUCAAACCCCCAGGAAUGCAACCGUCCUGCUCUUGAGCCACUCUCUCACUGGAGUGCUCCUUCCUCUGACAGACUGUGCUCCCUCUCUCUCUAAAUAAAACUGCUCUUUGUAUUUUGCCUGGUGCUCUUGAGCUACACUAUCACUGGAGCCUACUCCAUCCUCUCUCGAGUGUACUUUCUCUCUUACUAAAUAAACUGCUCUUUGAUUUUCA